GACGAACGCUGGCGGCGUGCCUAAUACAUGCAAGUUGAGCGCUGACGGUUGGUACUUGUACCAACUGGAUGAGCAGCGAACGGGUGAGUAACGCGUGGGGAAUCUGCCUUUGAGCGGGGGACAACAUUUGGAAACGAAUGCUAAUACCGCAUAAAAACUUUAAACACAAGUUUUAAGUUUGAAAGAUGCAAUUGCAUCACUCAAAGAUGAUCCCGCGUUGUAUUAGCUAGUUGGUGAGGGAAAGGCUCACCAAGGCGAUGAUACAUAGCCGACCUGAGAGGGUGAGCGGCGACAUUGUGACUGAGACACGGCCCAAACUCCUCCGGGAGGCGGCAGUAGGGAAUCUUCGGCAAUGGACGAAAGUCUGACCGAGCGACGCCGCGUGAGUGAAGAAGGUGUUCGGAUCGUAAAAAUCUGUUGGUAGGGAAGAAAGUUGGUGAGAGUGGAAAGCUCAUCAAGUGACGGUAACUACCCAGAAAGGGACGGCUAACUACGUG
rnacentral:rRNA from 1 species